rnacentral:rRNA from 1 species
UACAGAGGUCUCAAGCGUUGUUCGGAUUCAUUGGGCGUAAAGGGUGUGUAGGUGGCGCCGUAAGUCGGGUGUGAAAUUUCGGAGCUUAACUCCGAAACUGCAUUCGAUACUGCGGUGCUUGAGGACUGGAGAGGAGACUGGAAUUCAUGGUGUAGCAGUGAAGUGCGUAGAGAUCAUGAGGAAGACCAGUGGCGAAGGCGGGUCUCUGGACAGUUCCUGACACUGAGACACGAAGGCCAGGGAGCAAACGGG